rnacentral:lncRNA from 1 species
GGCAAUGCUUCCCUGUCUCCUUCUGUACUGUGGAAGCUUUGCUCUUUUACUCUGCAAUAAAUCUUGCUGCUGCUAACUGUUUGGGUCCACGCUACCUCUAUAAGCUGUAACACUCACCAUAAAGGUCUUACAGCUUCAUUCCUGAAGCCAGUGAGACCACGAACCCAGCAGGAGGAACGAACAACUCCAGACGCGCUGCCUUAAGAGCUGUUAACACUCACCGCAAGGUCUGCAGCUUCACUCCUGAAGCCAGAGAGACCACGAACCCAGCAGGAGGAAUGAACAACUCCAGAUGCGCCGCCUUAAGAGCUGUAACGCUCACCGCGAAGGUCUGCAGCCUCACUCCUGAGCCAGCGAGACCACGAACCCACCAGAAGGAAGAAACUCCGAACACAUCCGAACCUCGGAAGGAAGAAACUCCAAACACAUCCAAACAUCAGAAGGAACAAACUCUGCACACACCGCCUUUAAGAACUGUAACACUCACCACCAGGGUUCGCGGCUUCAUUCUUGAAGUCAGUGAGACCAAGAAGCCACCAAUUCCGGACACAAUAUGAAGGGGGAAUCUGGAAUAUUUCAAGAUAAGGUCCAAUUCUUCCAUUGUCUCGUAAUCCAAUGCAGAGAUGUGAAAUGUAAGAUCAUCUGAAGGAGAGCUUUGGUUCAAGUCAAAUGCAUGCCUCAACCUAGCAGAGCCAAAGAGAUACUUGUAUGAUGAUGGUAGAGAGCAGUCUACAGCCUGAGACCCAUCCCUAGGAAUCAAACUUGACUUAUGGAGCCAAUAUAAGCCCCUUGGAAAAACUGGCCUUAUAUCUUUGUCUACACAGUCCCUGUACAGGGUUCCUGACCUGUGGUAAGUAAAGAAUGUCACUUUCUGACAGGCUCAGGAGCCCCAAGUUUAUCUUGGAACCUGAAGAAGAGAGGAAUUCACCCAACUCAUAAGUAUUUGAUGGUCCAAAUCCAUGGCUGGGCUCAGCUUUAAAAAAGUCUUAUGUGAGAUUCCUUCUAUGGAACAAAAUUCCAUCAAAGCCAAUUUAAAAGCCUAUGUAAAAAAUAAAUAAUUAUUCUUGCUGCACUAUAUACAAAUAAUCAAGCCAAGUAUAAUAAAGCAAAUCAGUCCUACCAUGAUUUGUCUUUUGUAAAAAUGGAAAACUAGAGAGAGAAAAAUUAUAUUUCAAAAACUGUAGUACACUUAAUAUGGUUUGGCUGUGUCCCCACCCAAAUCUCAUCUUGAAUUGUAGCUCCCAUAAUUCCCACACGUUGUGGGAAGGACCUGGUGGGAGAUAAUUGAAUCAUGUUGUGGGGGGCAGUUUCCCCCAUACUGUUCUCAUGGUAGUGAAUAAGUCUCAUGAGAUCUGAUGGUUUUAUAAGUGGAAAUCCCUUUUGCAUGGUUCUAAUUUUCUCUUGUCUGCCGCCAUGUAGGACAUGACUUUUGCCUUCUGCCAUGAUUGUGAGACCUCCCCAGCCACAUGAAACUAAUAUAAGACUUCACAACCUGCUGAAAAUGAGCUUUCCUAAUAACUCGGGACCUACCUGUCUAGGAAUAAACCAUCCUAAACAUGAAAGAUCAGAGAAAAUGUGAGACCAGAGACUCAUUUUCUUCUAAAGUCCUUUCUCCAAAAGAUUUUUAAAAAGAUAAAGGGGGAAAUUUGAAAGGAAAAUAAAUCUUGGGGCCCCCAAAUCACUAAGCUAAAGGGAAAAGUCAAGCUGGGAACUGCUUAGGGCCAACCUGCCUCCCAUUCUAUUCAAAGUCACCCCUCUGCUCACUGAGAUAAAUGCAUAUCUGGUUGCCUUCUUUGGAAAGGCUAAUCAGAAACUCAGAAGAAAUGCAACCAUCUGUCCCUUAUCUGCCUAUGACCUGGAAGCCCCCUCCCCACUUUGAGUCCUCCCGCCUUUGCUUUGAGUUGUCCCGCCUUUCCAGACCGAGCCAAUGUUUAUCUUCUAUAUGUUGAUUGAUGUCUCAUGUCUCCCUAGAAUUUAUAAAACCAAACUGUGCUCUGAUCACCUUUGACACAUGUCUUCAGGACCUCCUGAGGCUGUGUCAUGGGCAUGCAUCCUCAAUCUUGGCAAAAUAAACUUUCUAAAUUAGCUGAGACCUGUCUCAGAUUUUUGGGGUUCACAAGCAUGUUAUCCGUUAAGUGAUAAGAUCAUAGAGAACUUAAGUGAACCCAUUCUGCAUACAAAAUUCAGUGCAUAUUAUGGCGAGUGGGAGUAUCUGAACUUGUAGUUCAUCUGGUUUUUACUUUACAAAGAUAAGACUAACUCCGGUUAAUUCCCAUGUCUAGAGAAACACAAUAUAAUUUGGCUCCGCACCUGAGAUGCUCUCCAGCCAUGAUGGUAGAGUUCCUCAUUCUAGGGAUUAUGGACCCAGGCCAAGCCUGCUCCUUGAUACUGAAAGUAAGCAGCAGAAUCUGCCUAGCAAUCCUUAGGGAACCUGUCAAGUGUCUGGAACCUAAUACCCAAAAGAGAAGGGCCAUUUUAUGCUGGCCCUCCUCUUCCAGUCCUGUUUUCUAUCUGAUGCAGCAGCGCUGGAGCUUUGUGGCAGAUGUAUUCCUAAGUGGUGGAGGGUGGUCCAGGGAGGGAAGUAUGAAAUGCAGUUUAAGUAACCAGCUUCUUUGGCGGAGGUUGGGGAGAUAUUUUCUAUAGCAGAUAAGAGAAGAAUAAAUGGUUACAGGAUUUCAAUACUUUGUUACUGGAUAUGGACUGGUAUAUGAAAUGAAAUAAAUGUCCAGACAGGUGCUAAGAAUUUAAAUAGUUCACUUGUUAUACCAAGAUUAUUUCACGAGAUACACGCAAUUCAAAACUGAAUCCUGCAUCUCUCUUCCAAGUUCUCAGUCCAGAGAAUGAACUUUUGUGAACAGAGGAAAGGGAGAAAUGAAGCUUGGGAUUGGGAAUAGAUGUGUUAGAGGCUAAGAGGUGGAAAUGUUGGCGUUCUACCCACUACAGGGACCCACCACCCAAAGAGCACACCAUCGCAAGAUAAGAUGACUUUCCUGUGAAAUCCAUUCCCCCCUUGAGGUCUGUGGCCUGACAUAGAUCUGGGACAAUCUGGGAGAUACACUCUAGUUACUUAAUGUUAAGGAACAUUAGGGAAAUGGAGCCCAAGAAAGUUAAGUCUAAUCCUGGGAUCAUAGACUGGACUCUCAGCACACAUGAAGCUUUCAGACAUCACUUAUAAAUAGAUACUCCCUUCCCUCACUCAGGCUUCAUACCCAGUGGAAAAAAUGUGCUCCUGAUAUCUGUAUGUCCCUGACUUGUCUGCUUUUGUUGGGUCUUGAGUCAUGGGUAAUAUUAGGCAUAUAGCCACUCCCUUUCUCUGCGUUCACACAGGCCCAUCCAUUCAUUCAAUAAAUAUUUUCUUAGCAUGUACCUGCCAAGCAUGGUUAUAAAUGCCAGAGAUAUUGUAUCUCUUCUCAGGGCCUCGUAUUCUCAGCCACAUUCACAAAUAGAGACAUACAGACUUUAUUGGAAAAAAAAUUAACUGGCUCCUACACAACACUUUAAACUGAGGUGAACAAGACUGUCUUCACCUGGUAGUCAGGGUAACUGGGUUUCAGCCCAGAAUCUUCCACCAACCAGCUAUGGGACCUCAGGCAAGUCACCUCUCUUUUCAGGCCUCAUCUUCGUCUUCUGUAAAGUGAGACCCUUGGUCUAGGAUGGGUGAUCUCUACGUUUCUUUCUCAAUUUCACAUUUUGUAACUCUCUCAUUCUUUAAUAAAUAUAGGCCCUGUAUCUGUUGUAGGAAAAGCUGAGAUUAUUUUCUGGGGGAAAUUGAUAACAAACCUAGAUUUUUUUUCCUAGUGAACUGUAGGGACUAGUGUAUUUUCUGAGCCACAUCAGGAACUGUGUCCUGAGCCCAAGAAAUGGUAUAGUACAGGCCUCUCGGACCUUCACAUACCCAAACUUCAGAGAAAGCUCACAUUACAAGCAAUUAAUAUAGCAUAGCAAAGGAAGAGAAGAGAGGUGACAACUGUAGUGGCUUCUUGCCCCGCCUUGAUGAGAUGGGAAGGGGAAUCUAGCAGGUGGGGCAGACAAGGCUGCCCUUGGGGCAGUUUGUGCUUCACAGUGUUGUGAAGUCCAAGAAAGAGGGUUUUGUCAAGAUUCUUUUUUCUGUGUGUUUAAACAGAGUUAUACUACAAUUGAAUUAGUGUUCUCACCCAGACCCCCUGCCAUAAAAAUCAUCAAACAAGCCUGGAAGAAUGUUACUGCAGGGACUUUGCCAGCAGAGUGCUAGGAUUUCUGGAAGCUGGGUAUCUUCUCACACACAGUGGCCAGCAUUGGCUUUGGAGUUUCUUGUUUUCCUAGCACCUGAGGAAAACUUUGAUUUGCCCCAGAAAGACUGCCCAGGUCCAGGGCAAUGCUAUUUGACAUCGUAUCCUCGGUGCAUGGGAGUAAAUAUGCCCCCUUCAGGUGUGGCACAGACUUGAGACUUAUGCUGAGGUCAGGCCUCACAGCUGCCUCCCAAGGCUACUGUCCCAGAUGGCCCCUUCCCACACACCGGCCACCAUGGAGGGAUUAGCAUGCACGUGUGUGUGUGUGUGUGUGUGUGUGUAUGUUUGUGUCUUUGUGUCAGUAUUUCUGUGAAGGAGGCAGUCCAAGGGACCAGCAGGAGGAUUUGUAGCUGGUGUGUGUGUGUGUGUGUGUAUGUUUGUGUUUUGUGUCAGUAUGUCUGUGAAGCAGGCAGUCCAAGGGACCAGCAGGAGGAUUUGAUUAUUACUGCCUAGAGACAUCUGACGCAGGGGAGCCCUGGUUUCUUGUGGUUGAUAUACCUGGGCAAGGAAAAGGGAGCUGAGAAGCAAUCAGAGAAAGUUGAGCAAAAAGGAUGAAGGCAGGAGGAAAUAGCUGAAAGAAGACAGAAGAGCCCAGCUCAGACACAGGUGAUUAGCAGUUCCUCAGGGUUCCUUUGGGAACCCUGAGGGUUCCUGAGCAGUUCCUUUGGGGUCCAGGGUUUGUGAGGCUCUGCUGGACUACAGGCAUCAGCCACCCCUGAGGGAGGCAGCUCUGCACAAAGAAGAUACAGUAGCUGGAGGAGCCAGUUCAUCCAGCCAGGAAUCUUCUGGCCUCACAGCAUCUAAAGGGAAAAUGCAGAGAGAACAAGUCAGGAUUCUUGAUUAUGGGACUCCCUGUGGAGGGCAAGGCCCUAGAAAAAGUUGGACAUCAUCUAAGAGUUCUGGCUUCAAAACUCAGUAUUGUGUGGUCUUUGUGCACCCUCUUGUGGAGUGAGCAGUGACUCCUGAAGGCUUGCCCAGACCAGGAUCAUUUCCGUUGGGAGUAUCAUAGACCAAAGUCCAUCCUCAAAAUCUGGUCUCCACUCUCACAAAAGGAAUGCACACAAAUGUCAUCCAACUGAAAGUCCUAUUUCAGAAACCUUUUGUCCACUCUCCUUCUAUUAUUCUAGUAAUGAUUACAGUAGGCUAAACAUUGUUUAAGUUUCAAAAGGCAGAAAACCAGAAAUUUUUUUUAAAAAAACAGUAUUAUAUGAAGCAAUGCUUGUAGAACAAUCUAUCAUCUGUAAGCAGACUAUUUUCCUUGUACUGAUCAAUACUACUCCUUUAUUACCUAUCUUAUCUUUCCUGUCUCUCCACUGAGUUCCAUGUAUACCUCACACAGUCACACAACUGUUGACACAGUCAAAACUGCAGUUCGCAGAUGAGGCAACUGGAACUCAAAGAGGUUAUGUAAUUUGUGUAAGAUUACACAGUUUGUAAGUGACAAAGUCCAGAGUCCAAUUCAGGGCUACCAGUUUACAUGGUUUUCCACUGAACUUCACUGUUUGCAGAAAAGAGAUAUACAAAAACAUUUAGAUAGAUCCUUCCACCCACACAGAAUUUAUUGCUACUAAUUGAACAGACUACUGAGUAAUGUUAUUAAAAUAUUGUUUUAGGUGUGACAUUUUGAUAAGAACUUUUUUUUUUUUUUGAGACAGUCUUGCUCUGUCACCCAGGCUGGAGUACAGUGGGGAAAUCUCGGCUCACCACAGCCUCCGCCUCCCAGGUUCAAGCGAUUCUCCUACCUCAGUCUCUAUGGUACCCACCACCAAACCGGGCUGUGUGGUUUUGUUUUGUUUUGUUUGUUUGGUGUGUUUUUGGGUUUGUUUGUUUUUGUUUUUGAGACAAAAUCUUGUUCUUGUCGCCCAGGCUGGAGUGCAAUGGCAUGAUCUCGGCUCACUGCAACCUCCGCCUCCUGGGUUCAAGCGAUUCUCCUGCCUCAGCCUCCCAGGUAGCUGGGAUUACGGGCACCCAGCUACCACCACACCCAGCUAAUUUUUGCACUUUUAGUAGAGGCAGGGUUUCACCAUGUUAGCCAGGUUGGUCUUUGGUCUCGAAUUCCUGACCUCAGGCAAUCUGCCCGCCUCAGCCUCCGAAAGUGCUGGGAUUACAGGUGUGAGCACUAAUUUGUAUUUUUAGUAGAGACAGGAUUUCACUGUAUUGGCCAGGCUGGUCUUGAACUCCUGACCACAAGUCAUCCACCCGCCUCAGCCUCCCAAAGUGCCAGAUUAGAGGUGUGAGCCACCGCAUCCAGCCGAUAGGGGGAUUUCUUGAGUUACUUCUUGUGUGGUACAGUAUAAACCAUCUCCUCUCUUCCCUAUGAAAUUAUUAGUAAAUGUUACAUUGAUUACUAAUACUUUGUAUUGAAGUAAAUUUUUUUUAGGGUGGGGAACUCAAAGACAGUGGUAGGAAACAACCAAUUAACUGCAUUGUAAAUUUAAAUGUUCCCAUGGACUUUCAAAAACAAAAGAAAUCCACAUCUUAAACUGAAAUGUUAACACCUUACCAGGAUCUUGGAAAGCCCAAGAAAAAUACCUUCCACAUCAGGUCAGCUCAGCUUUGCUGUUGUGGUAGAGAGAGAGGAGAGGAAGAGAAAUGAGGCAGAACAUUUCAAAGAAACAUUCCCUGCCCUUGUGCUUACAGUCUUACCAUAUCCUAAUGCCAUUCCUGUAGGUGUUUACUACCCCACCUUCUGUUGUACAGUUAGAGAAAAUGAAGUCCAGAAGGAGGCGACAACUUGGCUACGUCUCCGCAAACUCCCAGUUUCCCAAGUGCCCUGCUUUUUAGGCCCCAUUGAAUCAAAUGAUAUGCCAACACUCAGUUCUACCCUUUAUACUCCAUGAAACACCCAGUCCUGGGCUGAUGCCUCUUAUGAAACUGACCAGUAGGGUUGGAGCACUAUUUCUCAUUAUCUCUACCUCUUUGCUGUAGUAUGAUUAGGACAGUCAAGCAGCAAACAAGGAAACUCUCAGUGUACUUCCACACUUAGGAGUGAGUGUUUGUUUGUUUGUUUGUUUGUUUGAGAUGGAGUCUCGCUCUGUCGCCCAGGCUGGAGUGCAGUGGCACGAUCUUGGCUCACUGCAACCUCUGCCUCCUGGGUUCAAGCGAUUUUUCUGCCUCAGCCUCCCGAGUAGCUGGGACUACAGGCGCACACCACCACGCCCGGCUAAUUUUUGUAUUUUUAGUAGAGAUGGAGUUUCACCUUAUUGGCCAGGCUGGGAGUGACUGUUUUUUUUGUUUUGUUGUUAAAGCCAAACGUCUUUGUAAAAUUAUCAGACUAUCCUUUGCAGGCAUCAAAUUCUUCAGCUUUAGAUUCUUCACCUUCCUUUUGCUUUGUCAUAUAAUGACUUCACUUUCUCUUGACUCAUAUUAGUCUAUAGGUAUGUCUUUCUUAUAGCAACCCAGCACCACAUAAAAGCUGCAAUUUCAAAAUGAGAUAAAAAGAUAGUUUGCAAAAAGUGCAAGGUUUUCACAUCUGCUGGCAUAGCUGCAGUGAUGGCUUCACAAUUUUUCUUUUUUUCUUUUUCUUUCCUUUUUUUUUUUUUUUUUUUUUACAAAGGCCCUUAUGCUGGAGUCAUGUAUCUUGAAAUCGUGGGCAACUGCACUGCAGACCUCAAUCUAUGGUACCUAUCAAGCAUUUCAACUUUUUAUUAUAAUGUCAUGACUUUUAUCUGCUUCUUAGAGUACUUUGAGCAUCAAUUAGUGGCACUCUAUGGGUUCCAUGGUGUUAUUCAAGGUUUAAGAUAUUGCAGUAAACAUGAUGAAAAAAUAUGUGAGAACUGUGAGACAUCACUUUUUACUGCAAUGUAAAUUUACUGGAGAGGAACUGCUUACGUGGAGAUGAUUAGUGGCAUAUAUAUUCAUAUUUGCAACAUAUCCUAAAGACUCUUCAAUAUUUGUUGUAAUUUUGUCUUUAUUUCUUAUUUGAAACAGUUUUAAGAGUAUGUUUUUUUUUUUUAUACUUUAAGUUCUGCAGAACGUGCAGGUUUGUUACAUAGGUAUACACGUGCCAUGGUGGUUUGCUGCACCUAUCAACCCGUCAUCUACAUUAGGUAUUUCUCCUAAUGCUAUCCCUUCCCUAGCCCUCCACCCGCCAACAGGCCCCAGUGUGUGAUGUUCCCCUCCCUAUGUCCAUGUGUUCUCAUUGCUCAACUCCCACUUAUCAGUGAGAGCAUGCAGUGGUUUUCUGUUCUUGUGUUAGUUGCUGAGUAUGAUGGUUUCCAGCUCCAUCCAUGUCCCUGCAAAGGACACGAACUCAUCCUUUUUUAUGGCUGCAUAGUAUUCCAUGGUGUAUAUGUGCCACAUUUUCUUUAUCCAGUCUAUCAUUGAUGGGCAUUUGGGUUGGUUCCAAGUCUAUUGCUAUUGUGAACAGUGCCACAAUAAAUACAUGUAUGCAUGUGUCUUUAUAGUAGAAUGAUUUAUAAUCCUUUGGGUAUAUACCCAAUAAUGGGAUUACUGGGUCAAAUGGUAUUUCUGGUUCUAGAUCCUUGAGGAAUCAUCACACUGUCUUCCACAAUGGUUGAACUAAUUUAUACUCCCACCAACAGUGUAAAAGUGUUCCUAUUUCUCCACAUCCUCUCCACCAUCUGUAGUUUCCUGACUUUUUAAUGAUCGUGAUUCUAACUGGUGUGAGAUGGCGUCUCAUUGUGGUUUUGAUUUGCAUUUCUCUAAUGAGCAGUGAUGAUGAGCUUUUUUUCAUGUUUGUUGGCUGGAUAAAUGUCUUCUUUUGAGAAGUGUCUGUUCAUAUCCUUUGCCCACUUUUUGAUGGGGUUGUUUUUUUCUUGUAAAUUUAAGUUCUUUGUAGAUUCUGGAUAUUAGCCCUUUGUCAGGUGGAUAGAUUGCAAAAAUAUUCUCGCAUUCUAUAGGUUGCCUGUUCACUCUGAUGAUAGUUUCUUUUGUUGUGCAGAAGCUCUUUAGUUUGAUUAGAUCCCAUUUGUCAAUUUUGGCUUUUGUUGCCAUUGCUUUUGGUAUUUUAGUCAUGAAAUCUUCGCCCAUGCCUAUACCUGAAUGGGAUUGCCUAGGUUUUCUUCUAGGGUUUUUAUGGUUUUAGGUGUUACAUUUAAGUCUUUAAUCCGUCGUGAGUUAAUUUUUGUAUAAAGUGUAAGAAAGGGGUCCAGUUUGUUUUCUGCAUAUGGCUAGCCAGUUUUCCCAACACCAUUUAUUAAAUAGGGAAUCCUUUCCACAUUGCUUGUUUUUGUCAGGUUACAUAGGUAUACACAUGCCAUGGUGGUUUGCUGCACCUGCCAACCCAUCAUCUACUUUAGGUAUUUCUCCUAAUGCUAUCCUUCCCCUAGCCACCCACCCCCCAACAGGCCCUGGUGUGUGAUGUUCCCAGCAUCUGUAGUUUCCUUUUUAAUGAUUGCCAUUCUAAUUGGCAUGAGAUGGUAUUUCAUUGUGGUUUUGAUUUGCAUUUCUCUAAUGACCAGUGAGGAUGAGCAGGAGGGUUGCUUGAGCCAAGGAGUUUGAGACUACAGUAAGCUAUGAUUGUGGCAUUGUACUCCAGCCUAGGUAACAGAGAAAGACCCUGUCUCUAAUGUAUAUAUUUUUUUCUAUUAAACACAUUCAAUUCUAUAAAAUUCCUUCAAAGCACCUCUUUUGCUGCAUCCAACAAAUUUGGUAAGUUUUAUUUUCUAUUUCAUUUAGUGCAAAAUAUCUUUAAUUUAUUUAAAUUUCAUUACACAUGUGUUAUUUAGAAGAGUGUCAUUUAAUCUAUGAGUACUUUGGGAUUUUCUAGCUAUCUUUCUGUCAUUGAUUUCUAGUUUAAUUCCAUAAUAGUCUGAAGGCAUACUUUGUAUGAUUUUUAUCCUUUCAAAUUUGUUGAGGUGUGUUAUAUGGUUGUUCAUAGUGAUGAAUGUUGUUUGAACUUGAGAAGAAUGCCUAUUCUGUUGUUGUGGAGUACGCUAUAGAUGUCAAUUAGAUAUAGCUGAUUGAUGGUGCUCAACUAUGUCCUCAAUCAUUUUCUGCCUACUUGAUUUGUCAGUUGCUGAUAAGAGGAUUGUGUCUCUGUAAGUCUAUUCCUAUAUUUCUCACAUAUUUGCAGCUCUACCAGUUUUUGCUCAUGUAUUUUGCUGCUUUGUUCAGUGUAUAUACAUUAAGAAUUUUAUGUCUUCUUGGAGAGGGUGGGCCCCCUUUAUUAUUAUGUAAUGCCCCUCUUCUUCCAUGAUUUUCAGUGCUCUAAAGUCUGAUUUGUCUGAGAUUAAUAUAACUACUCAAACUUUUUGAUUACUGUUAACAUACUAUAUGUACUUUUCUCCCUUUCUUCAGUUCUGUCCACUCUGUUGAUGACCUCAUCAAAGUCACUGUUCUCUUGUUAGUUUUUUAAUGCUAGAAUUUCCUUUUAAUUCUUCCAUUUCUUUGCUUUUAUUGCCCAUUUGUUCUUGCACGUUGUAUACUUUUUCCAUCAGAGCUCUUAGCAUAUUAAUCAUAUUUUAAAUUCCCAGUGUGAUCACUGCAACAUCCCUGCCAUGUCUGAAUCUGAUUCUGAUGCUCAUUUUCUCUUCAAACUGUGCUUUUUGUCUUUCGUUUUUGUUGACUGUUGGACGUGAUGUACCGGGUAAAAUGAACUCGAGUGAAUAGGUCUUUAGUGAUGUGGUGGUAAUACAUGCAGUGGGGAGCAUUCUAUAGGUCCUGUGAUUAGGCUUCUUAAUAAGCCUAGGUCCCCAGACUGGACAUUCACAAGUGUUUUUCAGUCUUCCUCCACCUCUCCUCACCCCCAUUUAGGUAAAACAGGAAGGUUGGAGGAGGCUGGAGUUGGUUAUUCCCCUUCCUCCAGUUGUCUAGGCACUGGUAAAACCCAAUGCAAUUAGGUUCUAGCAAAAGAGUUUACUUUGGGGCCAGGCUUACAUUAAAUAAAACAGAAUUCUCUGGGCUUAUUUCAGAAUAGUUACUCUCACCUACAUCUGCUAGAAGCACAAGGGGAUUUUUCUGAUAUUCACUAUGAAAACCAGGUGGGACUCUUAGAGGUAAAACUCACAAGUGUGCCUUCUCAAAUCCACACAAGGCUUGGCCUCCUCUCAAGAGAUUUUCUCUCAAUUAGUCCAUGAUCAGCCUCCAGGAAGUAUUCAAUUACCUUUAGAUAUUCCUACCCAAUGCUGGCUCCAGUGGUGGUUUCUGGGCAGGUGCUCCUCCAGGUAAAAUAUGAUUUUCUGGACCUGCCUUUGUCUCCAGUUUUCAGGGUGGUAGUUUGUCCUGUGACUUCAACUCAAAGUCAGAGUUUAGUUGUUCAGCUUUUUUCUUUGUUAUGAUGGGAAUUAAAUUUUUCAAACUUUUUACAUAUCAAACUGGAAACCAGAAGUCCCUUAUGCUUUUAAAGAAACUGCCAAUUUUCCAGACGAGUUGUACCAUUUACAUGAUACCACCACCAUGUGAGAUUUCAUUUCUCCACAUCCUGGCCAGCAUUUCAUACUGUCACUAAUUUUUUUUUUUUUUUAGGUAUUCUAAUAGAUGUCUAGUGAUGUCAAUGUAGUCUAAAAUUGCAUUUCCUUCAUAGUGAUGUCAAACAUUCUUUUCAGAGCUAAUUUGCUAUCAGUGUAUCCUCUGUAGUGAAAUGUUUCUAUGUUUUUUGCCCAUUUUCUAAUUGGAUAUUUUUUAACUGAGUUUACAGAGUUCUUUACUCUAGGUAUGAGUCUUUUGCCAGAUAUGUGGUUUACAUGUGUUUUCUCUGUCUAUAUUUUUCAUCCUUUUAACAGGGCCUUUGGCAAACAAAAGCUUGUAAUAUUGAUGUGUCAAUCUGUCAAGUUUUUCUUUUAUCAAUAUUCUUUGGUAAGAGCUAUUCGGUAAGUUGAAGCCUUUCUCCUGUGGUUUUUCCUAAAAGUUUUAUACU